rnacentral:rRNA from 1 species
CCUACGGGGUGCAGCAGUGGGGAAUAUUGCGCAAUGGGCGAAAGCCUGACGCAGCGACGCCGCGUGAGGGAUGAAGGUCUUCGGAUCGUACACCUCUGUCAGCCGGGAAGAGCGGUCACUGUGCUAAUCAGCAGUGAAUUGACGGUACCCACAGAGGAAGCACCGGCUAACUCCGUGCCAGUAGCCGCGGUAAUACGGGGGGUGCAAGCGUUGUCCGGAAUCAUUGGGAGUAAAGAGUUCGUAGGCGGCACGUAAAGUCUGGUGUUAAAGGCAGAGGCUCAACUUCUGUACGGCACUGGAUACUUGCGAGCUAGAAUGCGGUAGAGGUAAAGGGAAUUCCUGGGGUAGCGGUGAAAUGCUUAGAUAUCAGGAGGAACAUCGGUGGCGUAAGCGCUUUACUGGGCCGUAAUUGACGCUGAGGAACGAAAGCCAGGGUAGCAAAUGGGAUUAGAUACCCCUGUAGUC